rnacentral:rRNA from 1 species
AACGAACGCUGGCGGCAUGCCUAACACAUGCAAGUCGAACGAAGGCUUCGGCCUUAGUGGCGCACGGGUGCGUAACGCGUGGGAAUCUGCCCUUUGCUUUGGCAUAACAGUUAGAAAUGACUGCUAAUACCGGAUGAUGUCGCAAGACCAAAGAUUUAUCGGCAAAGGAUGAGCCCGCGUAGGAUUAGCUAGUUGGUGGGGUAAAGGCCUACCAAGGCGACGAACCUUAGCUGGUCUGAGAGGAUGAUCAGCCACACUGGGACUGAGACACGGCCCAGACUCCUACGGGAGGCAGCAGUGGGGAAUAUUGGACAAUGGGCGAAAGCCUGAUCCAGCAAUGCCGCGUGAGUGAUGAAGGCCUUAGGGUUGUAAAGCUCUUUUACCCGGGAUGAUAAUGACAGUACCGGGAGAAUAAGCUCCGGCUAACUCCGUG